rnacentral:rRNA from 1 species
AUUGAACGCUGGCGGCAGGCCUAACACAUGCAAGUCGAACGGUAGCACAGAGAGCUUGCUCUCGGGUGACGAGUGGCGGACGGGUGAGUAAUGUCUGGGAAACUGCCCGAUGGAGGGGGAUAACUACUGGAAACGGUAGCUAAUACCGCAUAACGUCUUCGGACCAAAGUGGGGGACCUUCGGGCCUCACACCAUCGGAUGUGCCCAGAUGGGAUUAGCUAGUAGGUGGGGUAAUGGCUCACCUAGGCGACGAUCCCUAGCUGGUCUGAGAGGAUAACCAGCCACACUGAAACUGAGACACGGGCCAGGCUCCUACGGGAGGCAGCAGUGGGGAAUAUUGCACAAUGGGCGCAAGCCUGAUGCAGCCAUGCCGCGUGUAUGAAGAAGGCCUUCGGGUUGUAAAGUACUUUCAGCGGGGAGGAAGGCGUUAAGGUUAAUAACCUUGGCGAUUGACGUUACCCGCAGAAGAAGCACCGGCUAACUCCGUGCCAGCCGCCGCGGUAA